CUUCUUUCUUCUUCUUUCGUUUUUUUCUAUUCUUCUUCCGGUUUUGCUCCUGCGAGAGUUAUAAGAAUCGAGACUGAUUUUUCAGCGAAAGUAACUCGGUGAUGGAGUUGUUUAGAUAAUGGAGGAGUCGAAGUUGUUGUUUAAGAAGAAAAGAUGAAUCAGAGAAUCAAGUUAAGGUUUCCCAGAUAAUCGAAUUAAAGUUCGAAUCGAUGACGCAUAAAAAGAUUUAUAGAUUGGGUUUAGCUGAUGGAAGAAAGGUUUGGAGUUAAUUAGAAGUCAUGGAGUUGUUCAUGAAGAAUAAGAGUGAGUUAUAAAUCGGAAGUUAGGGUUUCUUGAACAGUAACUCAGAGAAGCUUUUGAAGAUGAAAUUGAUGUACUACAGAAGGGGUUGUUGUGGAAUCAAGGUUCUGAAGUCGUUUAUGAUGAUGGAUCAAAGAAGUUAGAGUUAGGAUUUCUCAAGACAACCUCAAAGAAGAAUUAAGAGUUCGAUUUGUUGACCAUUAAGAGGGAUUGAAGGAUGGGUUUUGAAGAUUACGAGGUAAAGCAGAAGUUAGUGAUGUUGAUUUGAAGAUACAAUUAUAAAGAAAGUUUAGGGAUCAAAUUAGGGUUUGAUACUGGUUCUGAAUUAGAAUGGGAAAUAGAAGGUUUAUCGGGUCAUUGUUCUUGCUUCAAAUUAGAGAAAUCAUGAGUUGGGAAUUGGCCGUGAUGAACUGUUGGAUUAGGGAUGAGAAGGUGAUAUGUUGCUGAACCGAAUUCAAUUGCCUGAGUAGAACUAGUCAGAGGUAAUGGUGUUUGCUAGUUAAUUGAGUAAUGUUUUUGUGUUGGAAUUGUAUUGGUAAUGAACAGAAUGUGGACUGCAGGUGGAAUGGGAAGUGAAUUGGUAAUACAGAUAAAGACUGUUGAGUGUUGAUUGAACUAAUAGGUAUUUAUAGUCUUAUGAUGUAUUGAUUUUUCAGUGAAUUGGAGUUUGUAUAUGUGAAUUCGACAUGAGUAUGGAUUGCUGAAGGAACUGGUGUUAGUGGUUAGUGAGUUUAAGAAUUUGGAAUGUUAAUAGAGUUGAACAGAUGAGUGUUGUUGAGGUUUAUAAUUUCAGAGUGUAGAGAUUGAUGGAAUUGCAGGUUUGGAAUUGGAUGAGAGUUACAAUAUAAUUUGAGGGAGUUGGAAUAACGUAUGAGUUGGUGUAUGAACUGGUAUAAGGAGAUGAGAUGAAAGACAGUGGUAACUUAAUUGAGUUGGUCUGAGUGUUGCUUAGAGCUGCAAUCGCAGUUGUACGAGUUGCUGCCAGAGAUAAGGGAAGCUAAGUAGAGUUGCAGUUAGUGUUUGAUGUGGAAGCUUUGAACUGCUGAAUUGCAGUUUCAGAGACAGAUCAGAGCUGCGCAACGGAAGCUUCGAGGAGUCGAGUCCGUUAGUUGGUUAACUUCUGCUAUGUUUAUUAUGUUGAAUAUACUAUCUGUAAACUAAAUGGCUAUUGUAUAUGUAUUAUUUGAGAGAAGUUUUUGUAUAUAUAUAAUUCUGAGCGGGGCUAGUUUUGGGUUAAGUCUUUAUAUAAGAUUUCUUAAUUGAAUGCUUAAGUUUAUGAUUUAGACUCUUAGUGUCUCUUUAUUUAGUUAAUCUCUUGGAUUAGUCAGCUACUAGCUUAGGGGGCGCUACAAUGAAGAAGGAGAAUACUAACCCAGCAGCGUGCAGAAAGAAGCUUAGCUAUGGCCAUUACUCUGCUGCUAUCAGAGUCCUUUCUUCAAAUGGUAUAGCACUACCCAACCCAGACACACUGUUUGAGCUUCAUCAGAAACAUCCAGAUGGACCUUCUCCACAUAUACCUGCUGAGGAUAUUUCAACACCUCCUUUAUCUGUGGAUGCUAAAUCAGUUUUGUCUGUUUAAAAAGAUUUCCCAAAGGCACGUCAUGCGGGAGAAAUGGCUUAAGAGCACAUCAUCUCCUUGAUGCUCUGAGUGGUAAUGCUGCAGAUGUUGCAGAUGAACUACUUGAUUCGAUUACUGGUGUGGUUAAUAUCUGGUUAUCUGGUGCUUGUCCUCCAAUUUUAGGCGAGUAUGUGGCUAAUGUGCCUUUGAUUCCGUUGAUAAAACCAGGUGGUGGGGUUAGGCCAAUCACUGUUGGCACAAUAUGGAGAAGAUUAUGCUAUAAGAUGGCUGCUACCUCAGUGUGCAAGAAAGUCACUUCAUAUCUGGGUACUCACCAAUUUGGUGUUGGUAUUCCUUGUGGUGGUGAAGCCAUUUUACACACGGCUAACAGAUUGUUGGAUAUGAAGGGUGAUUGCAACACAGACCAUGAUGCUCAUAGAUUUUUCGAAUGCUUUCAAUCUUGUAGACAGGUCUAUUUUGAUUCGUGAGGUUAUAACUCACUACCCCAAGCAUUGCAAAAUGGGUCGAGUUUUGUUAUUCUACGCCUGCUAGAUUGUAUUACAACGCUGUAGUUCUUUCAUCAGC